AAAACUCAUCGGCUAAAAAGACAAAAGUAGUCAUGGAUAACGAAGUAUCCGACGCUGUGAAACAGGUCGGUGUAGGAAAUUUUGUGCGUAAAGGUAUUGUUGGUGAUUGGAAAUGCACAUUUACCGUAUCUCAGAGUUCAGCAUAUGAUGAAAUAAUAAGGAAUUACCUGAAAGGAACGGGACUAGUAUUUGAGUAUGAAUAGGUAUUAUACAGUUUCGACGGCUAAAGCUCUCUAUCUAGGCAUAAUAAGAUGUUUCAUGUGACAAAUGUGUGUAAACAACUCAUAACAUGGGCAUGAUGAUAUAUCACAUCCAUAUAUGGACAUGAUGAUGUCAUAUCACAUCCAUAUAUGGACAUGAUAAUGCCCUUUCACAUCUAUAUCAUGAUGAUCAUACAACAUCCAUGUAUGGAAAUGAUGUCAUUCAACAUCCAUAUAUGGACAUCAAGAUGUCACGUCACAUCCAUAUAUGGGCAUGAUGAUGUCAUAUCACAUCCAUAUAUGGACAUGAUGAUGUCAUAUCACAUUCAUAUACAGACAUGGUGAUCAUACAACAUCCAUAUAUAAAAAUGAUGUCAUUUAACAUCCAUAUAUCCAUCAUGACAUCCAUAUAUGGGUUGGCGUCUGACGAGGUUUUCAUGAACAAAGGUUCAGGACUACAUAAUGGAGUUGAAAUAUAAUACUGUAUUACAUUUACAGUUAUAGGCCUAUUUUGAAUGUUUUUAAAAUUUAUGUAAAAAUAAGAUAUGUUUUAAAAAAAAAUGAAUGCCAGUAAUUAUAUAAAUAUCACAUUAUAAUUAUGGAGACAAUACUUAAAUUAUUACAUGGAAGUCCACUUGUAUUAGCACCAUUAAUAUCUUUGGAUUUUUAAUGGCCUACAUGGUUUCUUUGGGAUUUUUAGAAGGCAUUUAACUACAGUUCAGACACUAUCGUAGCAGAUUUAGUUAACAGGUAGGAAUAAUUUGUUGUUGCAUCAGAGUCUCCUAAACAUUUCCGUUAAGCUGUGUCUCUUGGAUAAAAACGUCAGCAAAAGCGUUAGUGGAACAGCAAGUGUGUUUGUGAAGUGUGACAAUCACGUUCCUAGAACGGUUCCGAUUGGCCAUAUAUAUUGUUUAUUUCACUUGUGAUUAUAUUAAAGGCCUACUGUGUUAUUGUAAAAAAAUUAUUGCCGAAAUGACAAAUAAAGCUAAAUUUCGAAACUUG